UUCAUUCUAAACCCUAGCAGCCUCCCUCCCACACAAUUCCUGCAGAUCCAUUUGUUGACGAGUUUCAAAGGUUAGUACACCAUAUUCUUUUGUCUCCCAAUCAUCUCUUUAUUCUCAAAUAAAAUCCCUAAAUUGCUCAUCCUCAUCUGCCGACUAUCACAUACAUCGUUCUAAACCCUAGCCUCUCCUUCACCCCCUAUCUAUCUAUUGCAAUCGGUUUACAUGGAUUAGAUUAAAUCAGACGAAUCAUUCCCAUUUCGAUCAGUGGCGAUCAUGUCUGGAAAGUAGCGGGUGCGUGUGGUGUGUUAUGUUCCUUUAUGUUUCAAAACCUAGGAUACGUUAGUGGAUCGGCUUCUUUUUUAGGUGAUUAAUGAGAAGUUUUGGCAGCAUCUAGUUUUGUUGAAAAUUGUGGGCUGCCAUAUAUACCUGUUAGACGCACAAUAUGACAACAAUAGAGGUGAUUUAAGAGAAAACAAACUGCUUUAGAGGCUGGAACUUCAGGAGGUCAACACGGUGCCAUGAAGAUUCACAAUGUGUGAACACGAGAACCAAUAUAUACAUGCAGAGUACCCAGCAGUUCUUACGGGAAGAUUUUGAGGUUAUUGGAUUUGGGUAUGACUUGGAUGAUGACUAGAAGCUUCAAAUUGGAUGCUGAUGUGUGGACUAUGGAAGCCGAUAGAGUUUUGAAGAUUGAUUUUUUUUUUGUUUGAAUUGUCUUUUGUGUUGAUUUCGUUUGGUUAAUUGUUUGGAUUUUGAAUAGGUUUGGUAUUGGUUAGAGUGGCUGGGAUAGGGGUUUGUUAAAACCCGUUCUGUAAAGCCUUAGGCGUUUUCAGGGUUGGUGUUCUUCUUGGGGUAUGUCCCGAAAGACCCAAUGCUCUUUAGGUGUAAUUUUUUUUUUAUUUUAUUAAAAAGUUUUGACGGGGUGCCCCGUUAAGAUUGAUUUAAUUACUUUAGUUGGAUGCUUAAUUUGAGGUAUUCUUUGUAAAUAGGCUUCCUUGAUUUAUUUUAAUUUGAAGUU
rnacentral:lncRNA from 1 species